AUUAUGAAAAUGUUCCACAUUACUAAUUCGUUUUAAUAUAUUGUAAUAAUUAAGUAUUUCAGUUUGCUAGCAAUACUCCAACAUUAGGGGGAAACAUCAGGUAAAAUGAAUCAAAGGUAAAAGUACAAGAGAACAUGUCGUCUAGUUUCAGCUACAAAUAUAAAGGUAACGGUUAUGGUAAAACAGAAUACAGAUUGAACGUCAUUAUAAAUGGUAAAAAAGUAUCUUGUUUACGUCUUAAAUUAGCGAAGGUGAGUUAUUUCUAUUAUUUACCCUAAUGUAAUGCAGCGUUCUGUGUUUUGAUUGGACGAAUUUUAUUUCAUAAAAUAUUUAGUGGCCCUCAAUACACAUGUGUCCGUAUGUGCAUUUCGGUAUGGCAUAUAGCAAUUUAUGAACUGAGGUGAACAUUGAGCAAUUCGCCUCACUUUCUCAUCGGCUGUGAAUGGAGAAAUCUCUGCCAUUUGCCAAUUUCUUCAUGGUCAGUCUAUAAAAUAGGCUUCUGCCACUUUGCGUUGCCUGUAAGUUGCUAUGCCAUUUAGCUAGUGAUUGUUCUUGUGUUCAUAUUCAUUUCUUAAAAUUUAAACAUGCUAUAUGCCAUGAUAUCAAUGAAAUAAAGUCGCGGCCAUUUCCCAUCUACUUUGUGCUUGUUGUUUGUGCAUGCUAAUAAGAAUAGUUAAGAAUAUUUGUACUGACGUCGUAAAACGACAUAGAUAUAGCGAACCUCAUGAAAUAUCUGUAUGUUCUACCUUGAUCUCAACCGAUCUUAAGCUGGCCCUUGCAUCAUGAAUUAGACAGCCACCUGCCUUUGGCAACUCAUGGGUUCAUUCCUUUGUGGGUUGCUUAACACAGGUCUGGCUGUAUACUUUGUAACAGAGAGGUCGUGAUGUUGCACUUGGGCGGAUCCGCAUACGUGUAGGUUCAAAGAACAUCUCAAGCGACAAAAAUCAGACAAGAAAAAAUAUUCACAAAUAAGUUUUGUGUAAGCGUUAAAGUUCUGACCAGGUUAAGGUUACCUGAAAGUAUUUGGCAUACGCUGAAUAUUACGUAUACUUGUAAAAAUUUAAUUCACAUUUUGUAUGCACAUGUGCAUGAUAUCGCUAUCUCUCUGUUGCUGGUCUUGCUGCCUUCUAUUCAUAAUCGGUUCUACCUGCGCCAAUAAAAUAAAUGCAUUUAUGUUCUCUUGUAGAAAUAAAUGGUGUUAUUUUUUGGUGAUAUAUAUUCACUUGUUGUCAUGUUGAAAGAGAUUACUUGUCGGCUAUUAUUCAUCAUUAUUUGCAUUCCGUUAUACGGUUUGUUUCGUUUAUCUAUUAUCUACACACUUGGCGGCAAAAAAUACGAGAAGUCCGUGCAUGUAUUUGCCACGCCCUUGAACCAGUUUGCUAGCUGAAAUCGUCCGAACAACAUCGAUAGAAAAAUUCCCUCCCACCCUUCCCCUUUAAGAAUGAUAUAUGUAUAGUAUCAAUUUGACGUAUUUCUGCUGUCAAGUUUGUUUUUCAGAUCCAGACUGAUACAUUUACGGAGUCUCAGGCAUGUCAACGUGAUAUUCGCAAGGGUCUGGGCGUGUUCAGAAGGCUGCCUCUUGCACUCACCUAUUCAUGUUACUAUAAACUGUCGCAGUGAUUAUCUAUUUUAGUUAAAUGAAAUAGUGAAACGAACGUUUUAAUGUUUCGUGGUAACUUCUGAAAGAGGUGAACAUUUUAAGUUUCGAGGUUUAAAGUGAAAAUGAUAUUCAAUUGCUGUAACAACUUUAUGAUAUUUUGUGUUUUCUUUAUUCUAUUUCUUUUAUUACUUGUAUUUAAUUUUAUGCAUAUAUAAUAACAA
rnacentral:lncRNA from 1 species